CCUACGGGCGGCAGCAGUAGGGAAUAUUGCUCAAUGGGGGAAACCCUGAAGCAGCAACGCCGCGUGGAGGAUGAAGGUUUUCGGAUUGUAAACUCCUUUUGUUAGAGAAGAUAAUGACGGUAUCUAACGAAUAAGCACCGGCUAACUCCGUGCCAGCAGCCGCGGUAAUACGGAGGGUGCAAGCGUUACUCGGAAUCACUGGGCGUAAAGAGGGCGUAGGCGGGAUAGCAAGUCAGAUGUGAAAUCCUAUGGCUUAACCAUAGAACUGCAUUUGAAACUGUUAUUCUAGAGUAUGGGAGAGGUAGGUGGAAUUCUUGGUGUAGGGGUAAAAUCCGUAGAGAUCAAGAGGAAUACUCAUUGCGAAGGCGACCUGCUAGAACAUAACUGACGCUGAUGCGCGAAAGCGUGGGGAGCAAACAGGAUUAGAUACCCCAGUAGUC
rnacentral:rRNA from 1 species